AGUCAGCUGUAGUGUGCAUCAGUGUAGUCAGCUGUAGUGUGUAUCAGUGUAGUCAGCUGUAGUGUGUUAGUGUGAUCAUGAUCUCCACUAAAGCAGGAGCGCUGCAAAGUCCUCUGUUUGCUGAAGAUGUGUCCGACACGAGUGUGUGUGUUCCUGCUGUUUCUGCUGUGUGUGUGUUCUGCAGUGGACAACAGAGGAGUGUUGUCAGUGGACUGUGCAGUGGAUCGGUCAGUAACUGUGCACUGGGCUCCUGCUCUCGGAUUCUCCCAGACUCUGGAUCCGGCCAGGGCCCUGCUGGGGAACUGUGCUCCGAUACGCACACAAUCACACACACUUCUGUUCCACACCUCGCUGGAGCACUGCGGCUUCGUCAGACAGGUGACUGCUGACAGUGAGAGUUUCUCCAGUGUGCUGAUCUACGACCCGCGGCCCGACCUGCCCUUCAUCUCGCAGCCGGUGCAGUGCACUUACC